AUUGAUCGCUUCUUUGCAAGGCGAUGUUGUAGCAGUGUCUGGCCAGGGCUUGGUCUCCCCGGACCUCUCCGAUCCCCUGGUUGGUGGGGAACUUCAACUUCAAAUGGUAGGUCGAUACGACAGCUCGGAGAGCAUUGAGGCCAGGUCAGCCGAGGAUUGCAUUGUAGGUGGAUGGCACCUUCACCACCAAGAAAUUCACCAGAGCCCUGGACUGCUUUGGAUAUUGACCCGCGGCCACAGUCAAAGUUAUCAUCCC
rnacentral:lncRNA from 1 species